ACUACAUGAGUAUUUAUGUACAGCUGACUUCCAAUCAACAAGAUUAAUUUAUUAAAUGUAGUA
rnacentral:tRNA from 1 species